GAUGAACGCUGGCGGCGUGCCUAAUACAUGCAAGUCGAGCGAACAGACGAGGAGCUUGCUCCUCUGACGUUAGCGGCGGACGGGUGAGUAACACGUGGAUAACCUACCUAUAAGACUGGGAUAACUUCGGGAAACCGGAGCUAAUACCGGAUAAUAUAUUGAACCGCAUGGUUCAAUAGUGAAAGACGGUUUUGCUGUCACUUAUAGAUGGAUCCGCGCCGCAUUAGCUAGUUGGUAAGGUAACGGCUUACCAAGGCAACGAUGCGUAGCCGACCUGAGAGGGUGAUCGGCCACACUGGAACUGAGACACGGUCCAGACUCCUACGGGAGGCAGCAGUAGGGAAUCUUCCGCAAUGGGCGAAAGCCUGACGGAGCAACGCCGCGUGAGUGAGGAAGGUCUUCGGAUCGUAAAACUCUGUUAUUAGGGAAGAACAAAUGUGUAAGUAACGAUGCACGUCUUGACGGUACCUAAUCAGAAAGCCACGGCUAACUACGU
rnacentral:rRNA from 1 species